UGGCGGCAGGCCUAACACAUGCAAGUCGAGCGGUAACAUUUCUAGCUUGCUAGAAGAUGACGAGCGGCGGACGGGUGAGUAACGCGUAGAAAUCUACCUAAUAGUGGGGGAUAGCCCAGAGAAAUUUGGAUUAAUACCGCAUACGCCCUACGGGGGAAAGCGGGGGAUCUUCGGACCUCGUGCUAUUAGAUGAGUCUGCGUCGGAUUAGCUUGUUGGUGAGGUAAUGGCUCACCAAGGCGACGAUCCGUAGCUGGUCUGAGAGGAUGACCAGCCACACUGGAACUGAGACACGGUCCAGACUCCUACGGGAGGCAGCAGUGGGGAAUAUUGCACAAUGGGCGCAAGCCUGAUGCAGCCAUGCCGCGUGUGUGAAGAAGGCCUUAGGGUUGUAAAGCACUUUCAGCAGUGAGGAAAGGGGUGUCGUUAAUAGCGCCAUCCUGUGACGUUAACUGCAGAAGAAGGACCGGCUAACUCCGUG
rnacentral:rRNA from 1 species